GCGCAAUGCAUGUUGUGAACAGCAGUUUUCCCGGAGUUUGAUGAAACCGAAAUGAAACAAAACUGCGCUUUUUCCCCCCGCGAAUUUAACCAUAAACUACGUACCACGGGACCGGGGCACAAUGGAGUGUUCCGUGUCCUCUCUCAUGUCCCUCCUGUCCCCCGGCCUGGCUGUAGGACCCUCUCUGUCCUGUGGGGGCGCACUUGGGCUGUGGUGGGUGGGGCUUCCUCUGGAGGCUGGCUCUGAGCUGCCGAAUGGGCGGGACUUACCACAGGACAUGACCAAUAACAUGGAGACAGCUGCCAAUCAAAAGGCUUCGAUGUCACUUCCUCUGUUCCUGCGUUUUGCCUGUCAGGCUCAGAGCCGCUCUCAGCAGAACCUCUCAGUCCAAACCCAGGACCAGAGAAUCCGAACCACACAGACCAUCUCACCUGGAACUGAACUACUGCUGCGACCCAGCACAGACCCAGAUCCUGUCAGAGAUGGAAACUCCGCAAAGGCUCCUGGGCCACAAACUGAAGAAGUAUCUCCUCCAACAGAAAACACC
ensembl:lncRNA